GGCUUUUUUUGCCGCGGAGAUCGACCGCCCACAGCGUUGAUCGUGGAGUUCGUCGCCGCUUCUCGCGACGAACACGGAGUCGAUCCGAUCUGCGCGGCCCUACGCGACACGGCCGCCCAGAUCGCUCCG
rfam:Gordonia bronchialis DSM 43247, complete genome.